rnacentral:rRNA from 1 species
UACGUAGGGUGCGAGCGUUGUCCGGAUUUAUUGGGCGUAAAGAGCGUGUAGGCGGCUAGAUAGGUCCGUUGUGAAAACUCGAGGCUCAACCUCGAGACGUCGAUGGAAACCAUCUGGCUAGAGUCCGGAAGAGGAGAGUGGAAUUCCUGGUGUAGCGGUGAAAUGCGCAGAUAUCAGGAAGAACACCCGUGGCGAAGGCGGCUCUCUGGUACGUGACUGACGCUGAGACGCGAAAGCGUGGGGAGCAAACAGG